rnacentral:rRNA from 1 species
UCAAGCUACUAAGAGUGUAUGGAGGAUGCCUUGGCGUCAGAUGGCGAUGAAGGACGUGAUAGCCUGCGAAAAGUUCCGUGGAGCCGGCAAUAGGCAUUGAAGCGGAAAUGUCCGAAUCGGGAAACCGUAUUGGGUAAACCCCAAUAAUUCCCACCUGAAUUAAUAGGGUGGGGUAAGCCGACCGGGUGAAGUGAAACAUCUCAGUAACCCGAGGAAAAGAAAUCGAACAGAUUCCCCAAGUAGCGGCGAGCGAAAGGGGAACAGCUCAAACCUUGUGUGUGUAAGCCUGUGAGCGUUGCAUAUGAGGGGUUGUAGGGCUUGCAUGAUCGUUUUACAGAGCGGUUGUGGAGUUACAAAAGAAUCAGAUAACCGAAGGGCCUGGGACGGUCCGACACAGAGGGUGAAAUCCCCGUAGGUGAAAUCUAAUUCUCUCCAAGCAAGUUCCUGAGUACCACGAGACACGUGAAACCUUGUGGGAACCUGGGCAGACCACUGUCCAAAGCUAAAUACAAGCUGACGACCGAUAGUGAAACAGUACCGUGAGGGAAAGGUGAAAAGCACCCCUAAUGGGGAGUGAAACAGUACCUGAAACCAUACACUUACAAUCAGUUGAAGCACUAUUUUAGGAGGUUUAUAGCUUACGGGUUAUAAACGCCUAUCAGUGUAACAGCGUGCCUUUUGCAUAAUGAUCCGGAGAGUUAUUAAAUGAAGCGAGGUUAAGCCCCGUAUGAGGGGUGGAGCCGUAGCGAAAGCGAGUCUUAAAAGGGCGAUUCAGUUUCAUUUAUUAGACCCGAAGCGGGACGAUCUAGCCAUGACCAGGGUGAAGCCUUGUUAACACGAGGUGGAGGCCCGAACCGAUGUAUGUUGAAAAAUGCUCGGAUGAGUUGUGGAUAGGGGUGAAAAGCCAAUCGAGUUCCGUGAUAGCUGGUUCUCCUCGAAAUAUCUUUAGGGAUAGCCUUGGGAAGUAGUUAGUGGUGGUAGAGCACUGAUUGGGCUAGGGGCCUUAACAGGUUACCAAAUCCUUUCAAACUCCAAAUGCCAUUAACGUAAUCCCAGGAGUCAGUCUGUCAGCGCUAAGGUUGACGGUCGAAAGGGAAUCAACCCAGCCCAUCAGCUAAGGUCCCCAAGUACAUGCUAAGUGGUAAAGGAUGUGGAGUCGCAUAAACAACCAGGAUGUUGGCUUAGAAGCAGCCAUCAUUUAAAGAGUGCGUAACAGCUCACUGUUCGAGCGAUUCUGCGCCGACAAUUUAACGGGGCUCAAGCAUGUCACCGAAGCUGUGGAUUUGUAUCCUCUUAGGAGGGUACAUCUGGUAGAGGAGCGUUCUGUGUUAGGAUGAAGGUCGACCGUAAGGACGGCUGGACGAAACAGAAGUGAUCAUUCCGGAUUAAGUAGCGUAAAAGCGUGUGAAAAACAUGCUCGCCGUAAAUCUAAGGUUUCCUCGAGCAAGGGUAAUCCGCUCAGGGUAAGUCGGUUCCUAAGUCGAGGCUGAAAAGCGUAGAUAAUGGACAUCAGGUUAAAAUUCCUGAACCGCCAAAACACGUUAUCACCAAUGGAGAGACGCAGGAAGAUAGGAGAACCCGGCCGAUGGUCGUGCCGGGAGGGGCUCAUAGAUGGACUCGUAGGUAAAAUCCGCGAGUCAUAUACAUCGAGGGGUCACUCGAGCCGCAAGGUGAAGUCUUUGACUCUACGCUGCCAAGAAAAUCUUCUAGGGAGUGUUAGGCGACCGUACCGCAAACCGACUCAGGUAGAUGAGGAGAGAAUCCUAAGGCGCUCGAGUAAUGUGUUGUCAAGGAACUCGGCCAAUUACUCUCGUAACUUCGGGAAAAGAGAGGCCCUCUUACGUGAAAGGCUUGCGCCUGUAGCGCGAAGGGGUCGCAGAGAAAUGGCUCAGGCGACUGUUUAACAAAAACACAGCACUCUGCUAAGUCGAAAGACGAUGUAUAGGGUGUGACUCCUGCCCGGUGCUGGAAGGUUAAGGGGAUGGGUUAGCGUAAGCGAAGCUCAGAACCGAAGCCCCAGUAAACGGCGGCCGUAACUAUAACGGUCCUAAGGUAGCGAAAUUCCUUGUCGGGUAAGUUCCGACCUGCACGAAUG